UGCCGCGUGUGUGAAGAAGGCCUUCGGGUUGUAAAGCACUUUCAGUAGGGAGGAAAGGUAAUAGUUUAAUACGCUAUUACUGUGACGUUACCUACAGAAGAAGGACCGGCUAACUCCGUGCCA
rnacentral:rRNA from 1 species